rnacentral:lncRNA from 1 species
CUCUACUCUACUCUACUCUACUCUACUCUACUCUACUCUACUCUACUCUACUCUACAAACACAGAAAGAACAAACUGUCCUUUUUAGCCAGAGAGAGAGAGACCCACCCCUUGCAUAACUCUCUGUCUCUCUGUGGUGCUGUUUGCAUGGUUGGACCCACCCCUUAUAACCAGGCAAUUCACCAAGCUGGUUCUGCUGAACAAGAUGUUCUGGAAACAGAGAGAGGUUUGACUCUGGGCUCUCUGCUUUGUCAGUCUUCACUGUUAAUAUUCACCAAGAUGUUCUGGAAACAGAGAGAGGUGUCCCGGUGGUUGUGUCUGAGGUGGCACAGGAAGCAGCGGCCUUGGUGUUGGCAGGAGUGGCACAGGAAGCAGAGAAAGACAAGAAACAGAACUAAGAAGAGCGAUCAAACCGAGGAGGCUGAUGUGGCCAGGGAAACACAACCUCCUUGGAUAAAACCUCAGUUUUUAACAUUCCAGAGAAGAUCUGUUAGACAGGAUGCACGACCCAAAGACCAUGAAGUUAAUAAAAAGGCUACUGGAAAACACACACACUCAUCUGCCACGACGAUGAUAGACCAGUUCAAUACAUAUUACUGUCCAGGGUGUGUCCAAAAUGGCACCUAAUUCCCUGAUUUUUAGGGGAUAGGGUGUAAUUUCAGACGUAGCCUAAGUCUUGUCACCAAAGUGCCUUCUCAUCCUAGAAAUAUGGAUGGAUCACCUUUUCUUCCUCUAUUGGCAAUAACUACCAUGUAACCUGGAGCCACCUGGGCUUCCAGCUGAACUCUCUGACUCCUAAUUACCUGGAGCCACCUGGGCUUCCAACCGAACUCUCUGACUCCCAAUAACCUGGAGCCACCUGGGCUUCCAACUGAACUCUGACUCCCAAUAACCUGGAGCCACCUGGGCUUCCAACCGAACUCUCUGACUCCCAAUAACCUGGAGCCACCUGGGCUUCCAACCGAACUCUCUGACUCCUAAGUACCUGGAGCCACCUGGGCUUCCAACCGAACUCUCUGACACCUAAUAACCUGGAGCCACCUGGGCUUCCAGCUGAACUCUCUGACUCCUAAUAACCUGGAGCCACCUGGGCUUCCAACUGAACGUUUACUCCCUAUAACCUGGAACUACCUGGGCUUCCAGCUGAACGUUUACUCCCAAUAACCUGGAGCCACCUGGGCUUCCAGCUGAACUCUCUGACUCCCAAUUACCUGGAGCCACCUGGGCUUCCAACUGAACUCUCUGACUCCUAAUUACUUGGAGCCACCUGGGCUUCCAGCUGAACUCUCUGACUCCCAAUAACCUGGAGCCACCUGGGCUUCCAACCGAACUCUCUGAGUCCCAAUAACCUGGAGCCACCUGGGCUUCCAACCGAACUCUCUGACUCCUAAUAACCUGGAGCCACCUGGGCUUCCAGCUGAACUCUCUGACUCCUAAUAACCUGGAGCCACCUGGGCUUCCAACUGAACGUUUACUCCCUAUAACCUGGAACAACCUGGGCUUCCAGCUGAACGUUUACUCCCAAUAACCUGGAGCCACCUGGGCUUCCAGCUGAACUCUCUGACUCCCAAUUACCUGGAGCCACCUGGGCUUCCAACUGAACUCUCUGACUCCUAAUUACCUGGAGCCACCUGGGCUUCCAGCUGAAUUCUCUGACUCCUAAUUACCCAGAGCCACCUGGGCUUCCAACUGAACUCUCUGACUCCUAAUAACCUGGAGCCACCUGGGCUUCCAGCUGAACUCUCUGACUCCUAAUUACCUGGAGCCACCUGGGCUUCCAACCGAACUCUCUGACUCCCAAUAACCUGGAGCCACCUGGGCUUCCAACUGAACUCUGACUCCCAAUAACCUGGAGCCACCUGGGCUUCCAACUGAACUCUCUGACUCCCAAUUACCUGGAGCCACCUGGGCUUCCACCUGAACUCUCUGACUCCCAAUUACCUGGAGCCACCUGGGCUUCCAGCUGAACUCUCUGACUCCCAAUUACCUGGAGCCACCUGGGCUUCCAACUGAACUCUCUGACUCCCAAUUACCUGGAGCCACCUGGGCUUCCAACUGAACUCUCUGACUCCUAAUUACCUGGAGCCACCUGGGCUUCCAACCGAACUCUCUGACUCCCAAUUACCUGGAGCCACCUGGGCUUCCAGCUGAACUCUCUUGACUCCCAAUUACCUGGAGCCAC